GACGAACCGUACGAACGUUAUUCGGAAUCACUGGGCUUAAAGGGUGCGUAGGCGGCGCGACAAGUUGGGUGUGAAAUCCCUCGGCUCAACCGAGGAACUGCGCCCAAAACUGUCGUGCUCGAGGGAGACAGAGGUGAGCGGAACUUAGGGUGGAGCGGUGAAAUGCGUAGAGAUCCGGAGGAACACCAGUGGCGAAGGCGACACGCUGGGCCGUACCUGACACUGAUGCGCGACAGCAUGGGGAGCAAACAGG
rnacentral:rRNA from 1 species